GGGUGGACCAAGCCGAGCCCUAGAAAAUAUCUGGGCUGGCUCCUCUCCUUCCUCUCUCCCUCCGCGCCGCCUCCUCUCCUCUUCGUGCGCGGCGGCGUCUCGUCAUCCCCAGCCCCCACCUCCCAACCCCUUGCUCCCGCACGAACCCUAUCAGAGAGAGAGAAGAUGAGAGGGAGAGAGAAGGAAGGAGAGGAGAGGCGGGAGAAAGAGAGAGGAAAGAGGAGAGGGAGGUGUGGCAGCUGACAGGAGAGGGUCACCGGCCAGCGUCGGCCUGCGCUGGCGAGGUCGGGCACGACCUGGCGGUUGGCGGCGGCUCGACCCGUUCCUAAAUCAGGAGCUGCGAGGAGGCCGGGGCUGGGGCGUGAUGCACGGGAGGCUCCACCCCGCCUCCAUCUCUACGCGUGCAGCAGCGACCCCGGAGGAGCUCAAGCCACAUCCGUGGUCCACGUCGCCGUCGUCGGCAGGAGGAGCGUGGGUCGCAGAGAUGGCCGGCUCAGUCCAGCUUUCGCGUUGCCGUCCAUCCACCCGAGACACCAGUCCCCGCGUCCUGACGUACAUCCUCUCUCGCUGUCACACACACUCUCUCUUCCGUCCUCUCACGCACGUCCUCGUGGCCGGAUAUUUGGUAAUUUCUUUUCUGAGCAUAAAUAGAUAUUGUGCCCCCACCUGUUUGUUGUUUUGCCCAGCUGAAAGGUGGAUCAAAUAUGAAAUACGUGAACGUUCCAUAGUGUGAAAAGCAAGCCAUGGUCUUGUUAAAGUUCCGUUGAAUUUCUGUGAUACCUAAGAAGUAUUAAUGCUCAUAUUUUUGCAAUUUGCUCUCCACAACUUUCAGUCACUGGUUCUUGAGGAAAGCAGGUAAUGCAUUUUGUUUGUGUCAACUAUACUGAAUAUGCAAAGCCUUUUUUAUCUUCAGAGAAAUUCACACUCUGCAUUAGUUGCAAAAGAUGUUGAUUUUGAUCUUAACAAUUGCAGGGAACUAUGAGACUUGCACAGUUUGGGCAGCGUCAGCACAACAUGCAGAGUUUCUGUUCAAGUAGUAGCAGACCAGCAAAGCACGGACGAGGAGAUCCAGGUCACGGGCCAUCCCCAUUUAGGUAUGAAUAUCGUUGCAAUUAGCAAGCAACCCUGAUGGAAGAAGCUAGCUACAUGCCUAGAUUGAUGCGUUCCGAUCUAUGUCAAUUAUAAGCUCCACAAGAAAAUAGCAAACUUUUGUAUCGACCGGGCGCAUCAGUGACUUGACGGGGAUAGCAAGACACAUAGAAGAAUAUAAAGCAUCAAGGUAGCAACUCAUUGGUUUUUGCUCCGAGCUGAUGCAUACUACUUUGCUUGCAGCCAUCGUCAACCAUUGUUGCUGGUAUCAUCACUUUUUUAGAACCAAAGAAAUAUUGCUUUUCAACUCAGAUGUGUGUUAGGUGAUGUUGCAUGCCAUUUUUGUUCAUCGACCUGACAUGAUUUGGAUUGGUGCAGAGGUCGGUGUGAAUGAAAAGCUAGCUUCUGAAGACGCAGUCGAUUAUUAUUGCCUAUUUUUCUAUUGAAAGGUGUUGCUUCUUUUAUCUUGACAGUCGAUGUCUGCUGGACCUGCCAGUUCUCAGGUGGAAGGUGGUGACUAGCAGCGCGCACGUGGACAAUGAUUGGGAUGGUGCUAUUACCCGUGCACAGGACUGCCUAAUGUCUAUUCUGGGAAUGGUUAUUUCCCUGCUCUUGCAGACAAAUCACCUGAUUUGAACUGUGUACGAGAUAAAGUUAUGCAAGCUUCUGCGUGCUCGGAGUCCCCACUCUCAUGUUGUUGGAGCAGUGACAUACAUGUGGCGGCUAUCCUCAAUAGGGAGUAGCAAAUUGGAGGCCAAAGAAGAAAAUUUUUUCAAUUCUGAAACUAAAUUUAGUGAAGGAGGCCGAAGUUCAUUACAACGCCAAUAUGGAUCCAUCCUAUUGCGUUGGGUGAAGGUCUAGAUGCAAUAAAAAUUGCACGUAGCAAACAUGUGCUUCCUCUAUAUCUGUACAAUCAGAGUUCUCGCUUUUCUUUGUGUGAUCUUUGUUUAUCCUUUUUGUUGUGUUUAUGUUGCCUACAUUCAGUCGACUUCAAGUUAACCUGUCCAUUUAUUUUUAUUCAGAUAGUUCAGAUGUCUAACGUUUAUAGCAUACACAUCAGUCUAGGGUUAACAAUAGUAGAAUAAAUCUUUCCAUAUAUCAUGAUUCAUAUGUGAGUCUCCCUGUCUGAGUAUAACCAUGAGUUGACAUGCUAUUAUUAACAAGAAGAUAUAAAUCAAUUUUGUUGUUUCAUCGUUGAAAGAUCAUUAGUAAUUUAUCAGAGUCUAUUCUGUCGUUUCAUGAUUUUAACAUAAAGUUAGUAGUUUGCCAGUUCUUAAAUUCUACCGAGGGACACCCAUCUACUUAAUAAGAAUAUCUUGACACUCCACAUUAUCUGAAAGGAAAAGCUUAUCAGCUGUUAAUUUGCUUAAUUUAUCUUAUGCAAGUCAGGGCUUACUUAUUUAUGACAAUUAUAAAAAACAAUUUUCUUACAUGUAGUAACAAUAACCUUACUCUUUUAUCACCAUUCAAUGUGUGGCCUCACACUGCAGAUGCAAGAUUCCGGUGUUCUGAAGUCAUGGGAUGCAACGCUAUGCAAUCUCUUAACAGUAUAUUGCACCCAGUUAGCAAGGAUGAUACAAUCAAUCCAACUGUUACCUUUAGGAUGCUUUUUGGAUGGACUAAUCUGAAGAUGCUGGCUAGCUUACACCGCCAUCAUACAGUCUAGAAGUACAGGGAAAAUAAAGGUGCAAUGAGCCCAAUAUAUUUUACUUUUUGGCAAAGUUUUGGUGCUUGCCCAAGAAAGUAACACCUAUUAAACCUACUAAUCCUUUUUCCCAGGCAAUUCGCCAUCUGGAGAAAUACCAACUAAUACAUUUUUGUACUUUCUUUGUUGCAGAGGCAAAAAUACUACUGCUUUUUGAAAGCUUUUUUGUUGCAUGUUCCCCUUUCUUAAUCUUCUAUUUGUUCAAAUGUACAUACCUGAGCUUAUAAUCAUUAUUACACAAUGAAUCUCACCAUUCUAUUGUUUUCCUGAAAAUUUAUACUCACAUAGUUCUAUUUUCUUAUUAGUGAUCUUCUGUUUGGCCUUCAUUUGGUGUGCAUAUAGCAUGGGAUAUUAUAGGCAUAUUUUUUCUCUCUAUUUGUUCAUGCACUAAUGCAUAAAUCUUUUGGUUAUGCUCUUAUUAUUUAGUCUAGAGCUAUGCAAUAACAACCAUGGCUUUAGUGUUCUGGUGAAUGCCAUAUAGAGUGAAGAACCCUUGGCAUCUUAUCUAAAUUCUUUAAUCCUAUUAUGCAUGCCCAGAUUAAAGGUAUAAAUACCUUAUAUCAGUAUCUUAUUUAGCCUCUUCUGACUAUUGACUGUUUGAACUGUUGUAGUAGGACUCAAGCUUUCAAAGUUAUUAGGCAUGUGGACAUGUUUUUGUUUUAGUUUGUACAGUUUUGUGUUCUUUUGGCUUCAGGUUGCUCUUGUAGAGAAAACAUAGUAAACUCAGAUGAUUGGAUUAGAAAAUACUCUUCAGCAUCUGAAACAUCUAAAGGCGGUCACUCAAGUAAGUAUCCUAUACAAUAUACCCAGCUGGAUGAUUGGAGUAGUACCAGCUGCUAUGUAUCACUCAGAUGAUUAGUGCUCCUGCGUUGAACCACUCAGCUAAGUAUCAACACUGCCCUCGAGACUUGGCUAUUAGCAUAGUAGCAACGAGCUCACAAAAAAAAUCUAUAGAUUCAUCAAACACCAAGGAGAUAGUUCUUACCUGAGCGGCAAUAGCGGCUACCAUAGUCUUGCUGGAGCAUCCCUUCCCAUGAAAAGUUACCGACUUCAGGGAGUGCCAGCACAGCCAAAUCACCGGUACGAGCAACAGCGGCACCAUUUGCCGGUUCUGCGGCUCCAAGCUACAGCAGUAGCCGCCGUGCCACCAAGAAGCAGAUGGAGCUGCAGCAUGAGCCGCUCUGCGGCCAAGCUGCAGCGUCAGCCACCAAGAUGGAGCCCAAAGUGUCGCCGUCCGCCUCCACCAGGUGGUUUCUCACUUAGGUACGAGUAGAAUGGGGAAAGGAACGGGAUGAGGACGAUGAACUGAUGGUGGAUGGAACAAGACCAACAGUCGACCACGUGGUGACCUGUUGUGUUACAUGUGUGACGCAUGUGUAUAAGUGUCCAUACUGUGGGGUUCUUUGUCCCAAUGGCACAAUUGUAAUUUUGUUUUUCUUGCUAAUUUGUACUACAUGUACUGUCAUGAGCUACACCGUUUCAUGCAAUCUACUCCUACUUAUCUUAAACUUCCAUUUAGCUUGUAUCAUAU
rnacentral:rRNA from 1 species